CGGAGGGGGCGAGCGUUAUUCGGAAUUAUUGGGCGUAAAGGGCGCGUAGGCGGCUGUACAAGUCAAAGGUGAAAUCCCUCGGCUCAACUGAGGAACUGCCUUUGAAACUGUACGGCUUGAGGCCGGGAGGGGGUAGCGGAAUUCCCAGUGUAGCGGUGAAAUGCGUAGAUAUCUGGAGGAACACCGGUGGCGAAAGCGGCGCGCUGGACCACUACUGACGCUGAGGAACGAAAGCUAGGGGAGCAAACAGGA
rnacentral:rRNA from 1 species